rnacentral:rRNA from 1 species
UACGUAGGGUGCGAGCGUUUGUCCGGAAUUAUUGGGGCGUAAAGAGCUCGUAGGCGGUGUGUCGCGUCGGCCGUGAAAACCUGCAGCUUAACUGUGGGCUUGCGGUCGAUACGGGCAUCACUGGAGUUCGGCAGGGGGAGACUGGAAUUCACGGUGUAGCAGUGAAAUGCGUAGAGAUCGUGAGGAAGACCAGUGGCGAAGGCGGGUCUCUGGACAGUUCCUGACACUGAGGCACGAAGGCCAGGGGAGCAAACGGG